UGUAGCUCAGUGGUAGAACAUCUGCUUUGUAUGCAUAAGGUCUCAGGUUCAAUACCUGAGGUGGAAA